CGAACUGCGAUAAGUAAUGUGAAUUGCAGAAUUCAGUGAAUCAUCGAAUCUUUGAACGCACCUUUCGCUCCUUGGUAUUCCUUGGAGCAUGCCUGUUUGAGUAUCAUGAAAUCUUCAAAGUAAAUCUUUUGUUAACUCAAUUGGUUUCUACUUUGGUAUUGGAGGUCUUUGCAGCUUCACACCUGCUCCUCUUUGUUCAUUAGCUGGAUCUCAGUGUUAUGCUUGGUUCCACUCGGCGUGAUAAGUUAUCUAUCGCUGAGGACACUGUAAAAGGUGGCCAAGGUAAAUGCAGAUGAACCGCUUCUAAUAGUCCAUUGACUUGGACAAUACUUUUAUGAUCUGAUCUCAAAUCAGGUAGAACUACCCGCUGAACUUAAGC
rnacentral:misc_RNA from 1 species